ensembl:lncRNA
CACAGCACAUAUGCAUGGUCCGCUCCGUUGAGCACCAGAUCCCAGGGGCCCGUCGUGGCCGAAAAGCCCUUCGCCGCAGCCAGGUGAAACUGGGGAAAAGUUCACCGUCGCAGCCGCCAAACUCUUUUUCACUCUCUCUGUCCUUCUCUGUCCCUCUCUGUUUCUUUCUUAGAGCCUCCCACGGAAAUACAAGAUGUUCCUUGGAUUUGUCUACUGUAAUUCUCUGGUAUUCUCAUGACUAUCCUGGUAGGAAAUAGACCUUAGAGGGACUUUGGAACAUAGAAAUAACUGAUUUAUAAAGAGUUAGACAUUGUUGAUCAGGUGAGGAAAUGAGCAGAGCAGAGAUCAAUGCUCGAGGGGUGAAAUUCUUAUUAUUUGUACCUUAUUAAGUUGAAAAAUUCUGUCUUUUGUCUCAAGGAUAAUUUCAAAUAGGGUAUGGAGAAUUGAUUUCAGUAAUAUAUAUGAGGGGAGGGUUGUACCUCCUUGUCCCCAUACGAUAGUCACAGAUAAACAAACACUGAAGAUGUUCAUAAUAGGGCCUAUUUUAUUCAAACAGCAAUUUGUCACAGCCUCCCCUUUGCUGUGCCCAUGGGUCUCUGUGCUAACAGGUUGUGCUCGGUUUAAUUGUGAAAUAAGUGUUUCUCUGUUCACAGGCAGCAAUCGGAAACCCCACAGGUGCACAACGCACACCAGCACACACACUGGUUGAUCGUGACAUGGUGAUGAGCCGCACAGCGACAGAAAAAGGACACAGAGCUGGCACAGGCUUCCCUAGUCUUUCCAAUCAGGCAGACAUUUCCUGUCCAAUCUGCUGUCAAAGAGAGAAGAAAGAGAGAGAAGUGAAAGAUGAGAAGCCACGGAAGGAGAGAGAGGGUGGAGAAAAACCUAGAGGACUCGUUGGUGUCAUUGCUGCAGUUAACUGUCCGUGUCUGCAGGCAUGCACACACAUAUUCACACCUGUAAAUGGGUCAGUAACCCGCACACCAAAUGUUCAUUCGCAUGCCUGCAUGUAUGCAUUCAUGCAUGUUGACAUAUACACACACAUAACGGGCAGGGCAUGUGGAGAAACACAAUAUGGCAAACGUGCAUGUCCACUGAAUCCUGAAAGACAGAAAAAGUAAACACACUGUGCUCACUCACUUUGGAACCACACUUUUAAACAAAAUUAUAUAAGCCUCAAAUACCUGUCUAUUUCAAUUAAUUUAAAGUCCAUCUAAUUCAUUCGAGCUAUUUAUGACAUUGCAAGUAGGGGAGGCCCUACUCCAAACAACUCCGAGAUGAAAUCUGAGAUUAGUGUGUUUAAUCCAAGACAAUCAAUCUUCUCCCCUCAAUGACUGCCAGACUUCAGUGCUCCACAUCUCACUUCAACCCCGAGUUUGAUUUCCACUGCAAAUUUCCUGUUAUGGUCAUGUUCUAAUCAACCUCAGUGUGUUUGACUUGGAGGCUCCUCACAGGUGUCAAGAAAUGGAUUAUUCUGAGGACAAUAUCCAGCAGAGGCUGACACGCUCAAAAUGUUCGAUUAUUUCACAGGACUGCUGUUUGAAACAAUAAAAUGCGGGUGUGCUGAGCAUGGUUCUGCUAUGUUGUGUUUUUUGUUUGUUUUUUUUUACAAUUUAUUAGAACAUUACUGUAAUGUUUUUGUUAGUUCAUUUAUAUUUUUAACCUUUGCUGUCAGGCUGAACAUACAGGGAGACUGAUUUAUAGUCAGAG